CCACAUCACACUGAAGCACCGGUUCCCGUACGAUCAUCGAAGUUAAGCAACGUCGAUCCUAGUCAGUACCCAGAUGGGUAACCGCUUGGGAAUACUAGGUGCUGUAGG